rnacentral:lncRNA from 1 species
CGUUAAAGACAUACAUAGAAAAGAUUUCAGAUUUGAUUCUAAAGGUCAAAUUAAGACUCUGUCAACUGACUGGAAAUAUCCAGCAGAAAUUAUAGUACCAUUAACUAACGAGGAAAUUUCCUCCUUAUGGAAGGAUAAUGAAUAUUGGCAAAUACCUUUAACUGACUUUUUGGGUACAAUUAGCAAAAAUUAUCCCCAAACUGACAGAAUUAAAUUCAUAAAAAAGACAGUUUGUAUUCUACCACAUAUUGUAAGACAAACUCCCAUUUCUGAAGUUCUUACCUUCUACACUGAUGCCACCAAAUCAGGUAAGGCAUGUUAUAAAGCAGGUGAGGUAAGUAAAGUAGUUCAAAGUCCAUAUACAUCUGUACAGAAGGCAGAAUUAUAUCCAAUUCUCUGGUACUUAUGGAUUUUACAGAUUCUCUUCAUAUAGUUAGUUGUUGGGGACCAAGAAAGUUCCAUUAUGGAAUGUCUUAAGGUCCAGCCUCCAGUUUCAGUAAACAGGAGCACCCAGGAGCUCUGGCCUACAAUUGUAUUGCUAAUGCAAGCAAGCGUGCUAUUGUAUAGCAUAGCCUCAGUGUAGAAUGCCUCCUAGUUUGCAUCUCUUCAGGACUAAGCAUUUGAAUAGGUCUGUACCUGGGCAGAAGGUUAGGUGUGUGAGUAACAAGUGAGGACAGAGAGAUAGGAUCCAUGGAGCAGAGAGGAGUCAGCUGAAUGAGACAGAAAUGGCCUCAUGGCCUUGGAAACAUGGUUAGGAGACAGCCCCGAAGAUGCUGAAUAAAGAAGAGACUCUCAUUUUACAGCAUAGAUCUGAGAGUUCUCUAAAGAUGACAAGAUGCCAGUGCUUGGUCUUUAUCGCCAUUGGGUUGCUAGGAGUUUCCAAGUCCACGAUCCCCAACUCGGGCCGAACCUCAUGGCUGUGGUGGCUUGGGGCUGAGACAUGUCAGGCCACAACAAAAUGGUGCCUGAAUGCGGGACCUGAGAACGGGGGAAGAAGCCAUGGACACCACAAAGAAAGGGACACCAAUGAAGCAAUGGACAAGACAGAGGCGUGGACACUUCGAAGAAAUAGUCGUCACAGUUGAACUGGUCAGAGAAGAAGCACCAGCAGGAAAAAGAAGAAAGAAGUGGCCAAGUGUGGUGGAGAAUGAGGCAUGCUGGCUGCUAGAGUGGUUGGUAAAAUACGUGGAGCAGAGAGGAAUUGGACCUGAGGCCUUGGGAGACCUUUGAACCAGCUGGAGUGAAACACUGGACCUGUGUUCUUGAACUUUGAAGACAUCCGACCUAUAGCCUGAAGAAUAAAGGAGACACACACCCAGUUCAAGUUUUGAGAUGCUUUCCAGAGUCCCAGUUUCCCUACAUAUGGACUACAUCCACCUCUCUGAAUCCGUGAGUGCUCAUCCAGGAGCAGACUAAGAACCAGACAACAAACAGCUUGCCUUCUUGCCAGACCUAGACACACAAAACCAUUUUGCCAUUUUUCCCAUGAGAUAAAGGACCCAUUUAGGACAGUUGGAUACUGGUAUAAACCAAAAUGAGUGGCAGAAGCCCCUUCACAAUACUUAAAUGAGACAUGGAAAAAGACUUUUCAAUUAACAUUCAAAGACUAUGUAUGAUAUUACAAACCUGAUUUCAGAACUCUACAGAUUUCAGAAUUUUGGACUUUAAGCAGGAAAUAGAAAGUUUCAAAGAGCAUUGGGCUCCAGGCAGGGAAAAAUGGAAAAAGGUUUAAAAUUGUGAAAUGUUCACACCCACAGAUCCUGAGAAUAUCUUAUUGUCUUUUGAUUGAAUUGUAACUCACCCUAAUGUAUGUUCAUGAUGAGAUUGUUAAUGUCAGUAACCUUGCUAUAUGUGUUAUGUAAAAGUUAUUAGAAAGUAGAAGUCAGGGUUCUUUCUAAAAGAAACGUAACAUGUAAUUUACAAGCCUUGGCAUAGAAGUAUGUUUAAGAGAGCAAACUUAAGUAGUAUGUGUACCAGAAGCACUAGAGGUAUUCCCACGAAGAUUUUAAAAGGCCAUUUUUAACCUUUAUAUGUCUCCAUUCUGCAAGAGAACAUUUGCAGUCGUAAGAGCUCAGGUGCUACCUCCCAGAAGAUUUUUCCUGAUUCAGGAAUGUUUGGAAUUGAACCAUGGCCCAUGCCCCAUUAACCUUAUUUGUUUACAGAGACUGGUUCCAGCCAGAGAUGGGUACAGUUUUCUUUGCUUUCAGGGAAUCCUAAGAUAGAACAUGCAUGACAGAAUGCGUGAUUCCAUGACAGGCACCUCUGGUAGGUUGAAGGGAACCUCCUAAGACAGGUGCAGUCAUCUGAUGCAGAUGCACAGGUUCCUUUUUAUUAAUUUGAGAGAGGUGUGUUGUUAGAGACCAAGAAAGUUCCAUUAAGGCCCAGCCUCCAGUUUCAGUAAACAGGAGCACCCAGGAGCUCCGGCCUACAAUAGUAUUGCUAAUGCGAGCAAGUGUGCUAUUGUAUAGCAUAGUCUCACUGUAGAAGGCAUCCUAGUUUGCAUCUCUACAGGACUAUGUAUUUGAAUAGGUCUGCACCUGGGCAGGAGGUUAGGUAUGUGAGUAACAAGUGAGGAUGGAGAGUUAGGUUCCAUGGAGCAGAGAGGAGUCAGCUGAAGGAGACAGAAAUGGCCUCGUGGCCUUGGAAACAUGGUUGGGGGCAGUCAGGAAGAUGCUGAAUAAAGAAGAGUCUCUAGUUUUGCAGCCUAAAACUGAGAGCUCUCUAAAAUUGAAAAGAUGUCUGUGCUUGGGCUUUAAUACCAUUGGGAUGCAUUCCAAGUCCACGCUCUCCCACUCAGGCCGAACCUCAUGGCUGUGGUGGCUUGGGGCUGAGACAAGCUGGGCCACGACAGUUACUGAUUCUCAAUAUGCAGAGAGAGUCGUA